GAUGCUACUGAAAUCCACGGUU
rnacentral:miRNA from 1 species